UGGGGAAUAUUGCACAAUGGGCGAAAGCCUGACGCAGCCAUGCCGCGUGAAUGAUGAAGGUCUUAGGAUUGUAAAAUUCUUUCACCGGGGACGAUAAUGACGGUACCCGGAGAAGAAGCCCCGGCUAACUUCGUGCCAGCAGCCGCGGUAAUACGAAGGGGGCUAGCGUUGCUCGGAAUUACUGGGCGUAAAGGGAGCGUAGGCGGACAGUUUAGUCAGAGGUGAAAGCCCAGGGCUCAACCUUGGAAUUGCCUUUGAUACUGAUUGUCUUGAGUUUGGGAGAGGUGUGUGGAACUCCGAGUGUAGAGGUGAAAUUCGUAGAUAUUCGGAAGAACACCAGUGGCGAAGGCGACACACUGGCCCAAUACUGACGCUGAGGCUCGAAAGCGUGGGGAGCAAAC
rnacentral:rRNA from 1 species